GAUGAACGCUGGCGGCGUGCCUAAUACAUGCAAGUCGAGCGAACGGACGAGAAGCUUGCUUCUCUGAUGUUAGCGGCGGACGGGUGAGUAACACGUGGAUAACCUACCUAUAAGACUGGGAUAACUUCGGGAAACCGUAGCUAAUACCGGAUAAUAUUUUGAACCGCAUGGUUCAAAAGUGAAAGACGGUCUUGCUGUCACUUAUAGAUGGAUCCGCGCUGCAUUAGCUAGUUGGUAAGGUAACGGCUUACCAAGGCAACGAUGCAUAGCCGACCUGAGAGGGUGAUCGGCCACACUGGAACUGAGACACGGUCCAGGCUCCUACGGGAGGCAGCAGUAGGGAAUCUUCCGCAAAGGGCGAAAGCCUGACGGAGCAACGCCGCGUGAGUGAUGAAGGUCUUCGGAUCGUAAAACUCUGUUAUUAGGGAAGAACAUAUGUGUAAGUAACUGUGCACAUCUUGACGGUACCUAAUCAGAAAGCCACGGCUAACUACGUG
rnacentral:rRNA from 1 species